rnacentral:lncRNA from 1 species
AAUUCUUACCUUGCUCAACAGGAAGGGAUGGCAACCAACAACUCUGCAACCAUGGAAUGAAGUGUAUCGGUGCCGUAACAACAAGAGCUAUCCAGCUGUAGUCGAAUAUGUGGAGCUGUAGGUGGGCUAAAACAAGGAAGUACUAGCACCAAGUUAGUCACAAAAGCAAGCUGAGGAAACGUUCAACGGCGGUACUGUGCUGAUCCUAGGCUAAACCAUGCUAGAGACGUGAGCCUAAGCACAAAGGUAGUCACUGAAAAAGAGCAACUAGCACAACACGAAGAAAAACAACAGAUUCAGCCCCUUCUUCCUUCUCCUUCUCUUGUCUUUUUUUCUUUUUUUUUCUUCUUUUUCUUUCUUUUUAGUUUUUUGCAGGGGUCUAAAUCUUUUGCUUGGUACUAUAGCAACCCAAACAAUAAGGCUAUCGCACAUGGCCCCUUCGAAUUCAGAUUUAACAACUCUUGUUAAUAUAGUAGAUGCAGAAAUCUCUAAGAUGAUUGUGGAGCGCUCGGAACAAAUUUUGCUUCAAGGUCAGAUCCGUUGGAAAGAAGACAACUUCAACUUUCCAGAUUAUAUUUAAGCUCCCAAAUCGGACAUCAUAUGGAUCAUAGGUGGCAAAAAUGAAGCAAAGAUGUAUAAGGUGAUGGUGGAUCUCGUGGUGAUCAAAAUGUGAUAGAACUCAAAACUCUAAAGGAAUAGACACUAAGACCUGCAGUUCGACACAACCGAUGCAACCGAAGACUCAACCAGCCCUACCUAAGAAGCACUAGUAAAAGGUUCAAAGGGUCUUUAGGAUUAAGGGAAACUAAUCUACUAGUUUUUUUGGGCUUUUUUCUGGACUAUAGGAAAUUAAAAACAGCGAAGGAUUGGAAAUCUCUCACCGAUCAACCUUGCUCUGAUUACCAACUAAGUUGAACCCAUUGGGUUGAAUCCCGACCUUUUGAUGAGAGAGGAGGGGAUAACUCGAUUGGUGGAUAGAGACAACAUUCACGGCUCGACUACAACCUUUUAAGGAUGCUGCGCCUUAGCAACCGAUACACC